rnacentral:misc_RNA from 1 species
CCGAACUGUUGACACGAGUUGUUGCUGGUCCCCACAUGGGGGCAUGUGCACGCUCUGUUUACACAUCCACUCACACCGUGUGCACCCUCUGUAGUUCUAUGGCCUGGGGGGCUCUGUCCUCUUGCCUUGGUUCUAUGUCUUUACAAUACACACCGUAACAAAGUCUUAUGGAAUGCAUGCCGCGUCUAACGCAAUACAAUA